ACCCAGACUCCUACGGGAGGCAGCAGUAGGGAAUCUUUCACAAUGGGCGAAAGCCUGAUGGAGCAACGCCGCGUGCAGGAUGAAGGCCUUCGGGUUGUAAACUGCUUUUAUAAGCGAGAAAUAUGAUGGUAACUUAUGAAUAAGGAUCGGCUAACUACGUGCCAGCAGCCGCGGUAAUACGUAGGUGGCAAGCGUUAUCCGGAUUUAUUGGGUGUAAAGGGCGUGUAGGCGGGAGCGCAAGUCAGAUGUGAAAACUCAGGGCUCAACCCUGAGCCUGCAUUUGAAACUGUUUCCCUUGAGUGUCGGAGAGGUAAUCGGAAUUCCUUGUGUAGCGGUGAAAUGCGUAGAUAUAAGGAAGAACACCAGUGGCGAAGGCGGAUUACUGGACGAUAACUGACGGUGAGGCGCGAAAGCGCGGGGAGCAAACAGGAUUAGAUACCCCCGUAC
rnacentral:rRNA from 1 species